AUUAAACGCUGGCGGCAUGCCUAACACAUGCAAGUCGAACGGUAACGACGGGGACAAUCCUUCGGGUGCGUACCCGGGCGACGAGUGGCGGACGGGUGAGUAAUGCUUGGGAAUCUGCCCUGCAGAGGGGGAAAACCUGGGGAAACCCGGGCUAAUACCGCGUACCUCCUACGGGAGAAAGCGGGGGAUCUUCGGACCUCGCGCUGUGGGAUGAGCCCAAGCCCGAUUAGCUUGUUGGUGGGGUAAAGGCCUACCAAGGCGACGAUCGGUAGUUGGUCUGAGAGGACGACCAGCCACACUGGGACUGAGACACGGCCCAGACUCCUACGGGAGGCAGCAGUGGGGAAUAUUGGACAAUGGGCGCAAGCCUGAUCCAGCAAUGCCGCGUGUGUGAAUGACGGCCUGCGGGUUGUAAAGCACUUUCGGCGGGGA
rnacentral:rRNA from 1 species